AAAAAAAAUAUCUCUAAAAAUACAAUUUAUAAUUUUAAUUGAUAACUGCUUCAAAUAUUUUGAGAACUGUAAAAUGAAUUAACGCAAAGCAAAAUAAGUUUAACUCGACUUGGGAUUGCAAAGCUUCAAGUCUAAUAUUAGAAAUCCCGAGUGAUCAUUAUUGACUGUUCUUAUUUUUUAAAUUAGUAGCCUAUUUCUUAUUCAAGAGAUAGGAUUUUUUAAUUUUCAGACUUGACAUCAAUCGUUUCAUUUGAUCUCGACAAAAUAUUUAGUUUAUUUUCUUUAUUUUUCUAUAAUAAUUUAUUCCCUCUUUUAAUCCUUUCAUUAAAUAUAAAAUUUUGGUACUUUUUUAGUGGCAAAGAAUAAGCGUAUUGAGCACGAAAAUAAUAGAAACUAUAUAUGUACACGGAAGUAUUGAAAUAAUUCAGUGAACAUAUUAUACACCGAAUCUUUGGAUCUUAUCUCGAGGAAAGUUUACGCGAUUACUGAUAAAAUUGCAUCAUUAAAUAAAGUGCAAAUAAACCACGAGUGGUAAAAUAAAUAUUUUUUUCAGAAGAAUAUGCGUAUAACUUUUUUUUCUAGUCGUUUCUUCAGUUCGAUUUGUUACUACAGAAUACAGACAAUAUCGCUUAAGGCACGUCGGGGUAGUUGAGAAAGAAACACAAAGAUAUAACUGACGAUACAGUAUUAUUGAUUAAGUAUUACUGAAGCCGUACUAAGGACAUAACUCGACCAGACAGCACUAUGUACGUAUCCAUAAUUAUUAUUGUCUUAGGAUGACGUAAAUAAUCCGAGUCGAUUGUCCAAUCUGAAAUCCGCCGUUCCUUGUACGAGGCGAUACGCGGUUGUAAAAGUACUCUUUAACUUUUCUACUUAUAGAUCUUUUACAAGCUAUUUAAUAUUUUCUGUGCGUAUCACGGUAUUUUUUUUUAAAUCUAAGGUUACAAAUAUGUAUAUCUAGAUAGUUUUCGACAUAUUUCAAAUUAAUUUGAUGUCCUUUAAAAAAUAUGACAUAUCAUUUUUAGAAUCAAACUGUAAAGAUCCAGACAAUAAGGGUUCGUUAAGCAAAAUUAACGUUCUUUGGAAGACUACAUUGCGCAAAUGGUUAGGGUAAUUUCGUAGAAUUGCCGGAUGGCUGGAAAGAAGGGCCGAAGGAGCCGCGAAUUCGUAAACUCGACUCCGCCGGCCGGUCGCCCCCUCCCCCUUCGCCGUGGUGGCUGUGUCAAGCGGAUCCGCACGAAGUGUACAACGCGCACGUUACGAUACGGAUGCGGAUACUCGGUGGGCUCGAUAUACGUAGCUAAAGCGCGCGCGAGUGAGUUCAGGCCAAAGUCUAACAGACACGACACACCUCCGACCUUCCUAUCGAUCUGCGGCCGGAGGUUUUACGCGUCCUCCACCCUCCGUAAGCUCGACGACCCUCUCUUCCCGCCCUCGCUCUGUCUGACUCGCUAUUCCCUCUUUCUCGCUCGCUCUACCCCUUGCUCUCAGCCGUAUAACCCUCUUUCGCCCCCUCUCUUUCUCCUUCUGUCGGGUGCCCAAGUCCUAGCGAGAAGGAAAGGCGAACCUGCCUGCCUGCCUGCCUGCCUGCCUGCUUGCCUGCCUGCCUGCCUGCCUGCCGAGACCCUCGCCAUGAGAACGAGUUUCUCGUCCACCUCCUCCACUGCUAGCGGCUCCUCCUUCUCCUCUUCUACCUCACCCUCGCGAGCACUCGCAAGCCCGCACCCUCGCAACCCGUUUCUAUCGCACCCCUCGUCACCUGCGGGGGGAGAAAGGAAGGAGGCGAAGCGGCGCGGAGAGAAAGAGAGCCAAUAAUGCGUCUUUACGACUCCGCGCUUUCGCAACACAGCCACGCCAGCUAUGCGCACCGCGGCAUCGCGGCCGCUCUCAAUUUGAUUUAAAGACGAGCUGCCGCUCUAACGCUGCGCGCGCGAACCGAGACAUCCGUCCCGCGCCGGCCCGUGAGAUCGACCCAUCGCGCAAAAAUAUUGUUUCCAUUUCCCUCUGAGAAACCGUGCGGCACAAAGGGGAUUUGCAGAUUAAAACAAUGUACUCGAGAAGUUUCGUCAGGCCUUUCAACUUACGAAUAAUGCCGAUUAAUUUCGGUCAUUGCAAUUUACGGAAAGUGUAUAUAAAUUUUGAAGACAUUUAUAAUACAAUACAGUUGCUACGGUUUCUCGAGGGUCGCCUGCAACGACGAGCGGCUCGGUCGAGACGGCAAGAGCCGACGAGACGGUCGCGGUCGUAGACUUUGGAAAAUACCGGAGGAUGAUGCCGGAACGGUACGGCACCGCGCCGUGUAUGACUGGCCGACUCCGCUGCCGACUAACGCCCCGGAUCGCGAACCGGUCAUUAGUGCAACGGAACCGGUGCAUCAGGGACAGGGAGAGCGAGCGCGGCGGAAUGUCCGCGCGAUGAAUGCCCCUAUUAUCGGUCGCUCGACCGCCAGAAUGCCGUUAGACGCACCGGCGGUCAAUCUAUUGUCCUACGUGUGCACAUGCAGCUCCGCAGGCGUUCCCGCCAGCGAGCGAGUGAGCGAGCGAGCGAGGAGAUUCGACCGGGCGACAGAAUUAGCCCGCUACAAGGAAAACUGUUGAGCCUGCUGCCGAUGUUUGCGCCUUCGCCGCGCUAUUCGUCUCUCCGCGCGAUAUUAUUGAACUUGUUGUGAUACCGCGUAUAUAGAUAGGCCACGAAAAAAUGCCGUGGGACAAAAGUUUGAAGAAACUGAUAAAGGAAUAUGUAAUAGGCCGCGGAAUGAGGAUUUAAACGCAGGAAAAGGAAAUGUACUAUGGAAAUUGUGAAAA
rnacentral:lncRNA from 1 species